GAUGAACGCUGGCGGCGUGCCUAAUACAUGCAAGUCGAGCGAACAGAUGAGGAGCUUGCUCCUCUGACGUUAGCGGCGGACGGGGGAGUAACACGUGGAUAACCUACCUAUAAGACUGGGAUAACUUCGGGAAACCGGAGCUAAUACCGGAUAAUAUAUUGAACCGCAUGGUUCAAUAGUGAAAGACGGUUUUGCUGUCGCUUAUAGAUGGAUCCGCGCCGCAUAAGCUAGUUGGUAAGGUAACGGCUUACCAAGGCAACGAUGCGUAGCCGACCUGAGGGGGUGAUCGGCCACACUGGAACUGAGACACGGUCCAGACUCCUACGGGAGGCAGCAGUAGGGAAUCUUCCGCAAUGGGCGAAAGCCUGACGGAGCAACGCCGCGUGAGUGAUGAAGGUCUUCGGAUCGUAAAACUCUGUUAUUAGGGAAGAACAAAUGUGUAAGUAACUAUGCACGUCUUGACGGUACCUAAUCAGAAAGCCACGGCUAACUACGUG
rnacentral:rRNA from 1 species